rnacentral:rRNA from 1 species
UUGAUCCUGGCUCAGGACGAACGCUGGCGGCGUGCCUAACACAUGCAAGUCGAGCGGAGUUUACUUGAUAGAUUCUUCGGAUGACGUCGAAUGAACUUAGCGGCGGACGGGUGAGUAACACGUAGGUAACCUGCCCAUCACACGGGGAUAGCUUCGGGAAACCGGAGGUAAUACCCGAUGUCUUUAUCGGACUAAGGUAAGAUAAAGAAAGCGUUAGCGGUGAUGGAUGGGCCUGCGUCCCAUUAGCUAGUUGGUGAGAUAACAGCCCACCAAGGCAACGAUGGGUAGCCGACCUGAGAGGGUGACCGGCCAGCACUGGACUUAGACACGCCAACUCCUACGGGAGGCUAGCAGUGGGGAAUUGCGCAAUGGGGACCCUGACGCAGCGACGCGCGUGAGCGAUGAAGGCUUCGGUCGUAGGCUCAGUCAUCGGGGAUGAUAAGGACAGUACCCGAAGAGAGCCCGGCUAACUACGUCCAGCAGCCGCGGUAAUACGUAGGGGCGAGCGUUGUCCUGGAAUUAUUGGGUGUAAAGGGCGUGUAGGCGGUGGUGUAGGUUAUCGGUAAAACCCAAAGCUAACUUUGGGCUUGCCGAAAACCCCAUCACUGAGUGCAGGAGAGGAAAGUGGAAUUCCCGGAGUAGCGGUGAAAUGCGUAGAUACCGGGAGGAACACCAGUGGCGAAGGACUUUCUGGCCUGCUACUGACGCUGAGGCGCGAAAGCUGGGGGAGCGAACGGGAUUAAUACCCCGGUAGUCCCAGCCGUAAACGAUGGUAACUAGGUGUGGGUAGUGGUCAAGCUAUCCGUGCCGGAGCUAACGCAAUAAGUUACCCACUGGGGAGUACGGUCGCAAGGCUGAAACUCAAAGGAAUUGACCGGGGGCCCCGCACAAGCGGUGGAGCAUGUGGUUUAAUUGAAGCAACCGAAGAACCUUCCAUGCCUUGACAUAUAGGUGGUAGAGAACUGAAGGGGAUCGACCUGAUGGAAACAGAAGGAGCCUAUACAGGUGGUGCAGGGUGUCGUCAGCUCGUGUCUGAAUGUUGGGUUAAGUCCCGCAACGACGCACCCCUAUACUUAGUGCCAGCACGUAGUGUGGGCACUCUAGUAGACUGCCGUCGACAAGACGGAAGGAAGUGGGGAUGUACUCAAAUCAUCAUGCCCUUUAUGGCAUGGGCUACACACGUGCUACAAUGGCCUGAACAACGGGAAGCGAAGGAGUGAUCCGGAGCCAACCCCACAAAUCAGGUCUCAGUUCGGAUUGCAGGCUGCAACUCGCCCGCAUGAAGUCGGAAUCGCUAGUAAUCGCGGAUCAGCAUGCCGCGGUGAGUACGUUCCCGGGCCUUGUACACACCGCCCGUCACACCACGAAAGUUGGCAACACCCGAAGCCGGGAUU